CCUCUCAUAUUUUCCCCUUCUCAGUCCUCACACGUUCUCUUCCUCUCUCACUCUUUCUCUCCUCUCCCUCUCUUUCUCUUCCUCUCUCGGCGCCCCCGUCGCUCGGGCUGCCCUCCGCGCGCGGCCGCUCCUCCCCGGUGAUGGUGAUGGCGGCGGCGCCGACCCCGACGACGGCGUUGACGAGUGGGCGACGACGACGAUGACACGGGUGGUGCCGGCGGCGGAUGGCGACCUCGGGCAGGAGCGGCGAUGGCGUCGGCGGGCGGCGGAUCCGGCGGCGCCGCCCUCGGGAGGGCCGGAUCCGCCGCCAUAGGGAGUGGCUACGGUGGCGGCGGCGGCGGCUCGGCGACCUCGGCUCGGCGGCCCGCCAUCCCCUCCUCACCGCCGCUGACAACGACGACGACGAGGCGACCCUCCCCCCUCCUCAACACCGCGGCCGCGGGGGCGGCUCGGCCACCCCGCGCGGAUCCGGUGCCGCCGACGAUAAGGCAGCUAUAGCUUUACUCAAAGUGAUUUGGCAACAAGUAGUAUAAGCAUAUGGCAUGUCAUCAGAUGGAUCUGUGCUUCGUAAUUGCAAGCACGUUAACAUAGUUUAGCUUAGCCUUAAAACCAUCCCCUGCAGCAGGUUUGGUUGGUUGGGGCAUCGAUCUGUCAUGUGAGAGGAGGAGAAGGUAGCUAUAACUAGUGAAAUGCCAUCAGUGCAAACCACCACAAGGAAUCAGGCAUCAGCAUCAGUCAUCACUUGGAUUUGUCUGCGUGUGUGUGUGUGCAUCUUUUGUGCAUGCAUAUAUGGGUACUAGUAUAACUUUAUAGGAGGCAUUUAGACACAGCCACAGCAGCAGAGUACUGCUCUGAAGAUCUGCAAUAUAUGUUGUUUGUUGUUGCCGAAAAGGAGAAAGUCCUUCACAUCUAUCACUGUCUAACUCUCCACCAGAAGCAAUUUGCAUUUUUUGCAUUCCUCACCUCACCUCACAGAAACAUAAUUCUUGACUUGUAAUCAAAUUGAAGCCAUGUUUGUUAAUCUCAUCAGAAUUCAGAAACCAUCCAUCUUUCAGAAGAAAGUAUAUAUAUAAAUCGUUUUGCCUGAUCUCUGAGCAUGCUUAGUUUCUUUGUUACAAAAUGCUGAACCGAGCUGAACUGAAAAUUUCAGAAAUGUGUGAUGUGCAGGUGGAGAUAAUCAGAGGAAUAUGACAAAUUAUGUUAGGGUUUUAGUAACUGGUGGUGAGAUCUGAAGAAGGUAGUAACUGGGUGGUGAAAACUAUUCCUUUUUUUUCCAAGGUUAGCACGCACAAUGAUCUAGCUAUCUAUAUAAACAAUAGUCUCAGCACUUCUGUUUAAAUUACAACUUUUUGGUCUUGUAUAAUUACAUGUGCUCACCUUUUAUGACAAAGGUGAUUCUUAUUCUCUUUGGGAUGGUAGCUUCUACAUAGAAGGGUACUUUUAAGUUCUGAUAUAAAUAAUUUAUGUGUUGGGUACUUGUGUAGCUGCAUUUUGUUGGUGUGAUCAGAUAUAUAGGGCUGGAAGUGCUUUGUGUAGCAUCAUGACCUUAAUGAUGACUACAGAACAUUAGUUAAAUCCUUCACACAUCCCAGAAAUCUUCCUAGCACAUAUCCAAUAUAAUAAUAGAGCAUAAAAAAUUGGCCAUGGUUUCAUGUUUGGGUUCUACUGAAAUCAGAUCCAUGUAACUACCUUGUAAUCUGAACCGAAAACAUAGUCAAUAGUAGCUUCAUAAUAUGUGGUCACCAUAUAUGAUUUUUUUUUAUCAUCCACACUUUACUGUUAUAAUGGCUGAAAAUUUGUCGAUAAAGCACUACGUACACAGCCAAUUGAGUUUGCAAUUCAGUUUGUUUUGUCAUAGAGGGAAGGGGGAGGGGUUCUGCUUGCAGUAGGCUUACAUUACUAUGGCUAUGUUUCACAUGUCUUGGCUUGUAUAACUCUAUUGUUUUGAUUUGCUAUGCCUAUGUUCUCUUUCUAUUUAGGUACUUACUAGUACUAUAUGUUCAAUUUGCAAUGCCUAUGCCUAUGCCUGUGCCUCAAUUUGCAAUGCAGGGGUUCAAAGCUUUGUAUGGCCAUAUGCAGGGGUUCAAAGUUUUGUAUGGUUGUGGUUACAAAUAUUGUGCUACUAAUGUUUGCUUUUCUAUAGGACAAGUGUGAAAGAAACUUAACCAUGAGAAUGUUCCAUACUAUUCUAUUGUUCCAUGUUCCUUUUAACUGUGAAACACAGCAAAGGACAGGAUCUCAUUGACAUGCCAUGAGAUAAGGUUUGUUGUCUUGCUGAUUCACGAAGAGAUGGCAGUAUGGUUGGUGUGAUUUCGACACGUGACAUUGUGUUUGGUAAGUGGACCUAUGAUCGUAUUUGGACAUGGUUGGGUCGGCCCAUGUGGACAUGUGACUUUGUUUUGGUCAGUGACUUAUGGCUGGAUAUGGUGACUGAUGUAUUGAACUUGAUUAUUUUGCUAUCUGGGUAUGCAUGGUCAAUGUACUGAUGUAUUUUGUUUUGGAAAGUUACCUUGUAAUGUAUUUUGUAUCAAACUUGUGAUUGUAUUUGAAUAUGUGAAUGGGUUGACCCAUAUGUAUUUGCAAUGUAUCAUAUGUCAACUGAAUUUUAUUGGAUAUUAACUGGGCUACAA